rnacentral:misc_RNA from 1 species
UGACAGCCGCUGCCCUCCUAGA